rnacentral:rRNA from 1 species
CCCUUCGGGGUGGAUUAGUGGCGAACGGGUGAGUAACACGUGGGCAAUCUGCCCUUCACUCUGGGACAAGCCCUGGAAACGGGGUCUAAUACCGGAUAAUACUCCUGCCUGCAUGGGCGGGGGUUGAAAGCUCCGGCGGUGAAGGAUGAGCCCGCGGCCUAUCAGCUUGUUGGUGGGGUAAUGGCCCACCAAGGCGACGACGGGUAGCCGGCCUGAGAGGGCGACCGGCCACACUGGGACUGAGACACGGCCCAGACUCCUACGGGAGGCAGCAGUGGGGAAUAUUGCACAAUGGGCGAAAGCCUGAUGCAGCGACGCCGCGUGAGGGAUGACGGCCUUCGGGUUGUAAACCUCUUUCAGCAGGGAAGAAGCGAAAGUGACGGUACCUGCAGAAGAAGCGCCGGCUAACUACGUGCCAGCAGCCGCGGUAAUACGUAGGGCGCAAGCGUUGUCCGGAAUUAUUGGGCGUAAAGAGCUCGUAGG